rnacentral:rRNA from 1 species
UACGUAGGGGGCAAGCGUUGUCCGGAUUUAUUGGGCGUAAAGAGCGUGUAGGCGGCUAGGUAGGUCCGUUGUGAAAACUCGAGGCUCAACCUCGAGACGUCGAUGGAAACCAUCUAGCUAGAGUCCGGAAAGAGGAAAGUGGAAUUCCAUGUGUAGCGGUGAAAUGCGUAGAGAUAUGGAGGAACACCAGUGGCGAAAGGCGACUUUCUGGUCUGUAACUGACACUGAGGCGCGAAAGCGUGGGGAGCAAACAGG